rnacentral:rRNA from 1 species
GACGAACGCUGGCGGCGUGCUUAACACAUGCAAGUCGAGCGGUAAGGCCCUUUUGGGGGUACACGAGCGGCGAACGGGUGAGUAACACGUGGGUGACCUGCCUUCAGCUUCGGGAUAAGCUUGGGAAACUGGGUCUAAUACCGGAUAUGACUUGGCCUCGCAUGGGGUUGGGUGGAAAGUUUUUUCGGCUGGAGAUGGGCCCGCGGCCUAUCAGCUUGUUGGUGGGGUGAUGGCCUACCAAGGCGACGACGGGUAGCCGGCCUGAGAGGGCGACCGGCCACACUGGGACUGAGAUACGGCCCAGACUCCUACGGGAGGCAGCAGUGGGGAAUAUUGGACAAUGGGCGAAAGCCUGAUCCAGCAAUGCCGCGUGAGUGAUGAAGGCCUUAGGGUUGUAAAGCUCUUUUACCCGGGAUGAUAAUGACAGUACCGGGAGAAUAAGCUCCGGCUAACUCCGUG